CCUUCUCCCUCACUCACGCGAGCCCGCCCCUCCGUUUUCCGCUUCCUCGCGCCUGUUCGUGGGUUCUGGCUGGGCAGAUCCCGCCGGUUAGACACACUCUCAGUCCGCCCAGAUUCGAGCCACCGCACGUUCGCUGCUCUCAGUCCGCCCAGAUCGGACGUUGAACGUCCGCCGCCGGCCCUCCUUAACCCGUCGUCCAGAUGCCACCGGUCCGACCCUAGCCACCGCCGCCGAGGUUUUUGCCCAAGCCGACCACCCUUCAUCGCGUUUCGCUGCCAUUGCUGCCCAGUCGACGCCCCAUCGUUCGUCAAGGCCCGACUGCGUGCGAACCCCCCCAACGGUCGUUGCUUCCAAAUGUAUCAGCAAUCGUUCCAGCAUUUUGCUACCUGCAUUGUCGUUCAGAUCUACUCCGCGCUGUUCCGGUUCGUCCUCCCAGCCGUUGUCCGCCAGUAUAGCAGUUGCUAGCUGUCGGGUUCAUCCUCUUCUACCGCCAUUCCGUGGGGUUUUCGCCAAAAGCUUGGAUUAUGGGCUCUGAUUGAACUUUCAAGGUGUUGGGAACCAUUGCCUAGUACGAUUAGAGUUGGCUUUAGGGAAUUUUGGGUUAUGAAUAGAUUGGAAUCUUUGUGCUAAGCUUGGAACAGAUUUCUGGAUCAGUACAUCAUUUGGGGUGUGAUUCAAGAAUUUUACUAAGUUAAAGGAGGGUGUAAUUACUUUUUGUUAGAUUUAAUUUUGAGGUAAGGGUAGAGAUGCACCGGCGAUGGCGCAACGGAAUUCAUGAUCGAACCACUGGGACUAGUUUUUUUUAUGCUUCCAUAUCAUGAGAUGUAGAAUUCUUUUCAUGUUUCCCUUAAUGUUUAGUUUUGAUGUUUGAAACUUAUUAUUAAGAAUUGUUUUUCAUAUGUAUUUAUUAAUCUUUAUGAUUUAUGGG